rnacentral:rRNA from 1 species
UACGUAGGGGGCAAGCGUUGUCCGGAUUUAUUGGGCGUAAAGAGCGUGUAGGCGGCCAGACAGGUCUGCUGUGAAAACUCGAGGCUCAACCUCGAGACGCCGGUGGAAACCGUUUGGCUAGAGUCCGGAAGAGGAGAGUGGAAUUCCUGGUGUAGCGGUGAAAUGCGCAGAUAUCAGGAAGAACACCCGUGGCGAAGGCGGCUCUCUAGUACGGUACUGACGCUGAGAUGCGAAAGCGUGGGGAGCGAACAGG